GAGAAAGGCGGUUACUGGUUGAUAAGGAGGCAUUGAGAACUGCCUGCCUGCCACGUUUGAUUUUGAAAUCUCAGGCUCUUCGAAGCUUCUAUAAGGGGACAAGUAGUCACAAUGCUAUAGCUUGUAGCGGAUUGCAAAGAUGCUUGUAAAACACUCAAAGCCUAUUAAAAAUUCCCAGCAGAUCUCUUCUCCCAGAUCCUUCGCCACUCCCCACCAAUGAGCCGGUAUACAUUCAAGGGAAACAAAGAAGCAAUUCUAAAGCACAAAGGAGCUGCCCAACUAUUCCAGGAGUUUCCCCAGGCAGGGGAAAUGUGCGUCCUGACAUGCUUGGCUGGAACUGAUUGGGAACCAGACUGUGUUCACUGAGCAAGUUGAGAAAGAUUUGCCUCAAGCUUCGGCACAUUAUGAUGUCAUCUUUUGGCAUUUUAAAUAUUCAAGUGUGUAUCCUGAAAAGCCUCUUGCUUUCAUUUCUUGUUUAGGUUGAAUAAAAUAGGCCUGCUUCCAGCUUGUGCUAAUUUAAACUCUUAAGGCGAGCUUAGUUGCUCAGUCGUGCCCGACUCUUUGGAACCCUUUGGACUGUAGCAAGCCAGGUUCCUCUGUCCAUGGGAUUUUUAGGGAAAGAAUACUGGAGUGGGUUGCUAUUUCCUUUCUCCAGGGGAUCUUCCUGACCCAGAGAUCGAACCCACGUCUCCUGUGUCUCCUGUGAUUGCAGGCAGAUUCUUUACCUGCUGAGCCACUGGGGAAACCCAAAGCUCUUAAGGAGCCGGGUCUUAUCUAACCCAUUUGAGAAAAACAGUUCUGGUCUGACGGCAAGAAAGAACUGAAGUGGAAGACUGCACACUGGGUUCUGGGUCACUGCCUCGUGUGACCAGAAACGACCCAGGGACACGUUCCAGCCUCAUUUCCUCGCCGGCAUUGAAGCUGAACCCACUGCCAGCCGUAAGACCUGACCGGACCUCUCCUCUCCUUUGGAACUAAGCAGGCUGGGCUGAUAUGUGACACCAUAGAGCUGAGGAGACUAAAACUUUGAGAAGUAUGAUCCAAUGUACUCCAGCUGGAAAGUGACAGGGCCCUGAACUGGUAGAUGCCAGGACUGUCUCUUCCAAGAGCACAGAGGAUGGUUAAACCUGAUACCACAGUCU
ensembl:lncRNA